rnacentral:rRNA from 1 species
UACAGAGGGGGCAAGCGUUAUUCGGAAUUAUUGGGCGUAAAGGGCGCGUAGGCGGCCUGGCAAGUGGAAGGUGAAAUCCCUCGGCUUAACCGAGGAACUGCCCUCCAAACUGCUUGGCUUGAGUCCGGGAGAGGUGAGUGGAAUUCCCAGUGUAGUGGUGAAAUGCGUAGAUAUCGGGAGGAACACCAAUUGCGAAGGCAGCUCGCUGGGACGUCACUGACGCUGAGACGCGAAAGCGUGGGGAGCAAACAGG